ensembl:ncRNA F57G12.10 ncRNA
AUGCCCCCACGAUGUCACUUCUAGUUUGACCACCCGUAUCGUGUAAAUUAGUGAAGCGACAACGAGCUGUCAAUAUAGAUUACCUCGCUUGACGUCUUCUCAAUCAACGACAACACAACAGGUUUGCGCCUGAGUGAGCGCGC